rnacentral:rRNA from 1 species
UUGGUGUGAAUUGCAGAAUCCCGCGAACCAUCGAGUUUUUGAACGCAAGUUGCGCCCGAGGCCUCCUGGCUGAGGGCACGUCUGCCUGGGCGUCACGC